rnacentral:rRNA from 1 species
GGAUAACUUACCCUUAGGACUGGGAUAACUCUGGGAAACUGGGGAUAAUACUGGAUAUUAGGCUAUGCCUGGAAUGGUUUGCCUUUGAAAUGUUUUUUUUUCGCCUAAGGAUAGGUCUGCGGCUGAUUAGGUCGUUGGUGGGGUAAUGGCCCACCAAGCCGAUGAUCGGUACGGGUUGUGAGAGCAAGGGCCCGGAGAUGGAACCUGAGACAAGGUUCCAGACCCUACGGGGUGCAGCAGGCGCGAAACCUCCGCAAUGUACGAAAGUGCGACGGGGGGAUCCCAAGUGUUAUGCUUUUUUGUAUGACUUUUCAUUAGUGUAAAAAGCUUUUAGAAUAAGAGCUGGGCAAGACCGGUGCCAGCCGCCGCGGUAACAUCGGCAGCUCGAGUGGUAGCUGUUUUUAUUGGGCCUAAAGCGUUCGUAGCCGGUUUGAUAAGUCUUUGGUGAAAGCUUGUAGCUUAACUAUAAGAAUUGCUGGAGAUACUAUUAGACUUGAAGUCGGGAGAGGUUAGAGGUACUACCGGGGUAGGGGUGAAAUC